GUAAAGGCUUGUGCAGUAUUUUGGCUGAGUCAUGGGAGAAACUAGUCAGCAGCUAAGGUCAAGUUUAGGACAAAGAAACGCUGCACAAGGAGGCUGAGAAAGAAGAAACAGGAUAGGGGAGAAGAUGUCUGUAGGACCCUGAGGAGUCUUCAGGUUACAAACAAUAACAAACACCACCAAAGGACAGGCUUCAGAAAAAUGGAAAAUUGAUCUAACAAGGAAGAAGUAUUAUGAAGCAAUGUUAAAAAGAAAUUGGUAAUAAUUGCCAACAGAGAAAACCCUUCAAAGAGAGUUGCUGCUUUUCCUAAGGGUUUCCAAGGAUCCAAAAACCUUCGGAAGUUCCAAGGAUCAAGUCCCAGGAUCUAAGCUGGACCUUUCCUGGAACAAAUUCCUUCAGACAAAUUCUCCACCAGACCAUCAACUCAGGAGGGCAAACAAGGAACUUGUUUUCAAGAGCUGGAGCCAAACCACCCAGAGUUUCCUGUGCCAGCAGAUAACCUGAGAACCUGCAUUUAUACGAAGGUAAAGGCCAUCUGGUAUGAAUGGAGCAUCUCCGUCUUCUCUCAUUCUCAAUGUUCAUGGAGGUAUCCCCUCACUAUCACAAUUUCUCUACAUUGUCACCAUUUUUCUUUCUUCUGGCUUGGUAUUUUUUUUCUUCUUUUUGCUUUAAGGCCUCCCCAGUUAGCUUCCUGUCUACAUCUCCAGGUCUGCCUGGAACUCUUUUGUGAACAUUCCAUAAAGCCAUUGCUCACACACUUCCCCAGCCUCAAAUGUCACCUCACUCUCUUGCUUUCCUUAGUUAUACUUUUCAAUCCAUUUGAAUUCUUCCAAAAAGGCUUUGUCUGCUGAACCUUCCUGUAUUAUCCAUCACUGUGUACCAAAUUACCACAAAUAUAAUGGACUAACACAAC
rnacentral:lncRNA from 1 species